rnacentral:rRNA from 1 species
CGCGCAGGUGGUUUCUUAAGUCUGAUGUGAAAGCCCACGGCUCAACCGUGGAGGGUCAUUGGGAACUGGGAGACUUGAGUGCAGAAGAGGAUAGUGGAAUUCCAAGUGUAGCGGUGAAAUGCGUAGAGAUUUGGAGGAACACCAGUGGCGAAGGCGACUGUCUGGUCUGUAACUGACACUGAGGCGCGAAAGCGUGGGAGCAAACA